UUUCCUCUCUUUCCCCUCCUGCCUGCCCCCCACCAAACCCUAAGAUCAAGUAUAGUAUCUGUUCUUAUUAGUUUAAUAACUGAGUUCAAAAUUUGAAUAUGCGAAUUUAAUUGUUUCUUUCUGGAUCAUCAGACCACUC
rnacentral:snRNA from 1 species